rnacentral:rRNA from 2 species
UACGUAGGUGGCGAGCGUUGUCCGGAAUCAUUGGGCGUAAAGGGAGCGCAGGCGGGCCGGUAAGUCUUACUUAAAAGUGCGGGGCUCAACCCCGUGAUGGGAGAGAAACUAUCGGUCUUGAGUACAGGAGAGGAAAGCGGAAUUCCCAGUGUAGCGGUGAAAUGCGUAGAUAUUGGGAAGAACACCAGUGGCGAAGGCGGCUUUCUGGACUGCAACUGACGCUGAGGCUCGAAAGCCAGGGGAGCGAACGGG